GAUGAACGCUGGCGGCGUGCUUAACACAUGCAAGUCGAGCGAAGCGAUUUUAAGGAAGCCUUCGGGUGGAAUUAAGAUUGACUUAGCGGCGGACGGGUGAGUAACGCGUGGGUAACCUGCCUCAUACAGGGGGAUAACAGUUAGAAAUGACUGCUAAUACCGCAUAAGCGCACAGUGUUGCAUAGCACAGUGUGAAAAACUCCGGUGGUAUGAGAUGGACCCGCGUCUGAUUAGGUAGUUGGUGGGGUAACGGCCCACCAAGCCGACGAUCAGUAGCCGACCUGAGAGGGUGACCGGCCACAUUGGGACUGAGACACGGCCCAAACUCCUACGGGAGGCAGCAGUGGGGAAUAUUGGACAAUGGGGGAAACCCUGAUCCAGCGACGCCGCGUGACUGAAGAAGUAUUUCGGUAUGUAAAGGUCUAUCGGCAGGGAAGAAAAUGACGGUACCUGACUAAGAAGCCCCGGCUAACUACGUGCCAGCAGCCGCUGUAA
rnacentral:rRNA from 1 species